AUUAAGAGGAGGUGUGAACAACCAUACUGUGUCCAGAUGGAAAGCAACACAGAGUGAUUACUUUCUGACUUGGGAGCCAGAAGCAUUCUUAGCAGAGCAAGCAAUAAGUAAACAAAAACCCAUUAAAGCUACGGGAGGACGAAGAGGUCUGUGACCUGUGGAAUAGAAAACAGUGGGAAGAAUGUGAGACAAGGGAGGAAGCAAUACUGAAAUCUGAAAUUCAACAUGACACAUCCAGCCUUAUUGGUGGCUGGAUGCAACUCCACCUUCGCUCCCCCAGCACUGCACUGUGAACUGAGGAGCAGCUUUACAUACAUGAUCAUUCUACUCCAGGGCUGUACAUCUUUGGCGCUCCUGCAGAUGUUGGACUAUUAAUCCCAUCAUACUUGACCAUUGGCCACUGAGUUAUGGUGUGAACAACUAUUUGUCCAUUACCUCCCCAGAGCUUUUGUUUUUGUUUUGAAGCAACUCAAUACUUUGAGCGAUGUGUCAUCAAUGAAUUGUGAUUGAAAUACUAUUAAAACACACAGACUUUC